UGCACCCUGGCAAUGGGCAAAGAGACAUCUUGGCGGUGGUGUUCUUACAUCAGCCAGGAACAGAGCAGAUGGAAGUCCUUUGCUAAUCUUAGCUUGAUGUCUGACUUGGUGGCCAAAGCUUACUUAUGCCUAUGACUUAUCA